UGGUACUGCGGAUGACAUUACUAUAGUUGUAGAGCUCUGUGCCUGUCGUAUGCUGCUUCACCCAUGAUCUGUUCUGAGUACCUUCGUUUCCUCGGCGGGUCCGCCCGCCGAUUGGACACAUUUAAACCCUUUGUAGUUGCAAUCAGCGUCUGAAAAACUUUAAUAGUUACAACUUUCAACAACGGAUCUCUUGGUUCUGGCAUCGAUGAAGAACGCAGCGAAAUGCGAUAAGUAGUGUGAAUUGCAGAAUUCAGUGAAUCAUCAAAUCUUUGAACGCACAUUGCGCCCCUUGGUAUUCCAUGGGGCAUGCCUGUUCGAGCGUCAUUUGUACCUUCAAGCUUUGCUUGGUGUUGGGUGUUUGUCUCGCCUCUGCGCGCAGACUCGCCUCAAAACAAUUGGCAGCCGGCGUAUUGAUUUCGGAGCGCAGUACAUCUCGCGCUUUGCACUCAUAACGACGACGUCCAAAAAGUACAUUUUUUACACUCUUGACCUCGGAUCAGGUAGGGAUACCCGCUGAACUUAAGCAUAUCAAUAAGCGGAGGAAAAGAAUACCCUUA
rnacentral:rRNA from 1 species